GUAGGGUGCAAGCGUUAAUCGGAAUUACUGGGCGUAAAGCGCACGCAGGCGGUNNNNNNAGUCNGAUGUGAAAUCCCCGGGCUUAACCUGGGAACUGCAUUCGAAACUGGCAGGCUAGAGUCUUGUAGAGGGGGGUAGAAUUCCAGGUGUAGCGGUGAAAUGCGUAGAGAUCUGGAGGAAUACCGGUGGCGAAGGCGGCCCCCUGGACAAAGACUGACGCUCAUGUGCGAAAGCGUGGGGAGCAAACAGGAUUAGAUACCCUGGUAGUCCACGCCCUAAACGAUGUCGACUNGGAGGUGGUUCCCUUGNNNAGUGGCUUCCGGAGCUAACGCGUUAAUUCAACCGCCGGGGGAGUACGGCCGCAAGGUUAAAACUCAAAUGAAUUGACGGGGGCCCGCACAAGCGGGGGAGAAUGUGGUUUAAUUCGAUGCACCGCGAAAAACCUUACCUACUCUUGACAUCCAGAGAACUUAGCAAAGAUGCUUUGGUGCCUUCGGNAACUCUGAGACAGGUGC
rnacentral:rRNA from 1 species